GCAUGUGCCCAGGGCACUGGACCAGAUGGGGCCCAGCCGAAAUACCGCUACUCCUGGAACGCAAUUUCAGCCAGGCCCCCUCCAGAUUUGUGAGGCAACUGGAUUCUGAAUGCAGCUUCCAAAGGACAAAAAAAAAAAAAAAAAAAAUAGCCGAAUGAUAUUUUUUAGAUUUGAUAAACACUGUAAAAUAAUCAGUGCAUUUUCUAUAUCGUGAUAGAUUAUUAAGAUUAUAAUAUGUCGGUCUAAAGUAGUUGUAAAAACAUUCAAAUUAUAUGAAGUCUUCUUGCUCAUUUUCAACAUUGGAAAUAGAAGAAAUAAAAAAAAUAAAAAAAAAAAAAAACUUAAUUUAAAAGGUUAAUAAAAAUUGUGAUAAUCACAAGUGUUUAACUACGAAAAAACAAGGAGCUCUAUGAACUUUGGAUUCAUUGAAAUAUACUUGAAGACAUUCAUAAAGAUAUUUCAGACAUUUCAGGGAUGAAAUAGUGGAAGGCAUUUCCUCUAAAACAUUUCACCAACAAUUAAAUAAACACAAGAGUGGAGCACAUUCAUUUAUCUUUAUUACAUAGAAAUCAGAUUGUAAAGACAGUUCAAAUAAAUGAUGUGCAGAUAGAAAUAUUACUAGAUUUCAUUAACAUAAAAUACAUCUACAAUAUUUAAUAACACCCUUAAUCUAACAUUCUCCCAUAUUAAUACAUCAUAACACAAUGGCAAGUUAUGGCAAUUUAAUAUACUGUGGUACUUCAACACUUUAAGGCGAUGCCACUCACAACAAUUAAAAAAAAAUCAUACAAAUUUGUUUCCUAAAAUCCCUGAAAUUAGAUUUCCUGUUAACGUUUCAUACACCAUUUGAAAAUUUUUGCUCAUUCUUCCAUUUUUAACCCUAAAUUUACAGCAUAUUUAAAAAAAACUUUAUUUUCAAAUAAACCCCGACUGUCUUGGUAAAUAGCAUAGCACCAUGUUUGAGGUCAUGCUUUCCUCAAGAGCCUCAGCAGUAAAGGCAUCAAGCACCACAGACUACUGUGAAUGUAACACAGCAAACCUAGGCUUUUGUCUUUACGGCUUGUCUGGAGCUUUUCUACUUCUUCUCCUUGUUCAGGCUCCUGCGUGGCACGGCAAUGGAAAACACACACGUGUAACGUUUAGCAAUACAGACAGUAAAUCAACAGAUAGUGGGAGAUGCAUGAGAUGCACACAGAUUCUAUCGAUACCUGGGAGUUUUCCGAUUCGCCGCUGUCUACGGCUCGCUCUUUCUCGCGGUUGCGAAUCUCAGGACUGGCUGCACUGAUGAGCAUCUUCAGGUUGGAGGUAGGUGUCCAGGGAUCGCUUGACGGUGCCUCAAGGCCCUUAGUAGGUGUUGUCAGGGGCCCCAUGUUCUUAUGGCUCUCCAGUAACGCAGCUUCUGAAGCCCUACUUGAGUUUUUUAGUGGUGUUUGUGGCUCUACAAAAACAUGCCCCUAUUUCAUAGAAAAAAAAAACAUUAGGUCUUAUUGAUCCUGAUCAUGCUGUUUUUACAAAAAAUGCUUCCAGAGCAGAGUUUCCUAAACCUUUUACUAAAAAGGCCAAAGUAAUUGUUCUAUUUUAUCCAACUAUAUUAUAUUAAGACAUUUUUAUUCUUUACAUUUCAAUGCAAAAUUUAAAAAUGUUAACGCAGAAAGAUAAACUAGAAAUGAUUGAUAUGCUUCAGUGGUUUUUUUCCCCCUUCUUUCUAUUUUUCCCUCCUCUCGUGAUAUAAAAUGACAAGACAAACCAAAGGUCAACACUCCUGGAGGCCCUUGUUUGGGCAUGUUUGCUCUAGAGUUACUCUAAGAGUAUGACUAAGUUAACUUUUUAUAUAUUCUUC
rnacentral:lncRNA from 1 species